rnacentral:tRNA from 1 species
GGUAGUUCAGUGGUAGAGCACUUGCCUUGCAUGCCUGAGGCCCUGAGUUCAAAUCCUCAGUACCA